AGUGAACGCUGGCGGUAGGCCUAACACAUGCAAGUCGAACGGCAGCACAGGAGAGCUUGCUCUCUGGGUGGCGAGUGGCGGACGGGUGAGGAAUACAUCGGAAUCUGCCCGGUCGUGGGGGAUAACGUAGGGAAACUUACGCUAAUACCGCAUACGACCUUCGGGUGAAAGAGGGGGAUCGCAAGACCUCUCGCGAUUGGAUGAGCCGAUGUCGGAUUAGCUAGUUGGCGGGGUAAUGGCCCACCAAGGCGACGAUCCGUAGCUGGUCUGAGAGGAUGAUCAGCCACACUGGAACUGAGACACGGUCCAGACUCCUACGGGAGGCAGCAGUGGGGAAUAUUGGACAAUGGGCGCAAGCCUGAUCCAGCCAUACCGCGUGGGUGAAGAAGGCCUUCGGGUUGUAAAGCCCUUUUGUUGGGAAAGAAAUCUUUCAGGCUAAUACCCUGGGAGGAUGACGGUACCCAAAGAAUAAGCACCGGCUAACUUCGUG
rnacentral:rRNA from 1 species